CAUAGCACGCGUACACCGGUGACGAAAGCUCUUGGAAGUAGGUCCUACUUAUGUAUUAGAUAUAUUAUUACUAAGUGGGAUUCCUUCUGCAGUCUGUAGGAGCCCACCAAUGACAGCCUCCUAUAUGAGUUUAAAAUAGUGCUGGCUAUGAGUGGUCGUGCUGAACCCGUGUUUUACAAACUCGCACAUCAGUUCCCAGCAAGGAAAAUACAGUUGCAGGCUCUGGGAUUGUCUGUGGCCAGCUCUGUAGACUCAUGAUAGGAGGAUGUGGUGGCUGGUGCGUCACUACAGCCCAGCGUGGCUGUGGAUGUUGUAAUGUUCCAGGUCAAGGCCAUCAUGCAGAAGAAGAGUCUGUUGGCAUGUGUUGUCAUCAUCUUCUGAUUUCCAAAGGAAAUAAUGGCUUUAAUUGUCUGUAACAAACAUAAAAAUUGCCCAUCAAUGUUGGAAAUAAAAAAAAAAUGUAAUGAUAAUCUGUUAGUUCUAGUCUGGACAACAUACAGUUAACAUUGAUGUUAAUGUAGAGCUUACAGUGUAAUAAAAUACA